UCGGGUGUGUAAGUGUAGCGAUACAUUGAGCUAACCGAUACUAAUGAACCGUGAGGCUUAACCUUACAACGCCGAAG
rnacentral:rRNA from 2 species